rnacentral:lncRNA from 1 species
UAAUAUGGGGACGAAGUCCCCAAUAACAGUAGAAAAUUCAAUAAAAAAAAAAAAAAAAAAAAAAAAAAAAAAAAAAAAAAUCGUAUAUUUUCAUUUGAACUCAAAAUCGUUCAAUUUUUUUUGUCGCGUUUUUGAAUUUCGGGAUUUGCGCAGAAAUCUACAAUGUACUUCCUUUUUCCGGUCUCUUUUGUAUGAAACUUUGAGUAAAAUAUAUAUUUAUCAGUAUAGUAUAAAAUAGGAAGGAACACAAUUCCAAUUUCAUUUUUAAUAAUUCCUUGAUAUGAAAAAAAACGUUACCUGAUGAUAGCGUUUCUUUGUUUACAUUGCAUAUGACGUCAUAACUUAAAUAACGUCACAACUAAAAUCCCUAACAACAGAACCAAAAUCGGAAACGUUACCGUAUUUCCGUUUCUUUUUUUUAACAAAUAUUUUUAAGUUACAAAAAAAUAAUUCAUACAGACUUCGUCCCCAUUUACAGGUAAUGCCUGCCUCAUAUUA